AUUGACCGCUGGCGGCAGGCCUAACACAUGCAAGUCGAACGAGUGGCGGACGGGUGAGUAAUGUCUGGGAAACUGCCUGAUGGAGGGGGAUACCUACUGGAAACGGUAUCUAAUACCGCAUACCAUCAGAUGUUCCCAGAUGGGAUUAGCGAGUAGGUGGGGUAAAGUCUCACCUAGGGUACGAUCCCUAGCUGGUCUGAGAGGAUGACUAGCCACACGGGAACUGAGACACGGUCCAGACUCCUCCGGGAGGCAGCAGUGGGGAAUAUUGCACAAGUGGCUAAAGCCUGAUGCAGCCAUGCCGCGUGUAUGAAGAAGGCCUUCGGGUUGUAAAGUACUUUCAGCGGGGAGGCGUUACCCGCAGAAGAAGCACCGGCUAACUCCGUGCCAGCAGCCGCGGUAAUAC
rnacentral:rRNA from 1 species